rnacentral:rRNA from 1 species
GACCGUGCGAAGGUAGCGUAAUAAUUUGCCUUAUAAUUGAAGGCUUGUAUGAAUGGUUUGACAAGAAUAUAACUGUCUCUUUAUAAUUAGAUAGAAUUUUAUUUAUAGGUGAAGAAGCCUAUAUUAAAUUGAUAGACGAGAAGACCCUAUCGAGCUUUAAAUGAGUUGGUAAAUUUUACAUAUUAUGGUAUAGAUAAAAAGUAAGUUAUUAAAGAUUUUGGUUGGGGCGACUGAGGAACAAACAAAGCUUCCUUUAUUAUUAGAGACAAUCGAGUGUUGAUCCAAAAUUUUUGAUUAAAGGAAUUAGUUACCGUAGGGAUAACAGCAUAAUCUUUUUUGAGAGUUCUAAUCGAAAAAAAGGUUUGUGACCUCGAUGUUGGACCAGAAUAUCCUGAAGAUGCAGCCGUCUUCAAAGGUUGGUCUGUUCGACCAUUAAAAUUCUACGUGAUCUGAGUUUAGACCGGCGUGAGCCAGGUCAGUUUCUAUCUUCAAUUUUUAGAGUAAACUUAGUACGAAAGGACCAGUUUACUAUAAGUUAAUUAUUUAUUUUGGUGAUAUAUAAUAAAAGAUUUAAUUGAUAAGAUGGUAGUUACGAUCAAGUUAGCAAAGAUAAUGCGAUUGAUUUAGGAUCAAUAGGCAUAGGUGAAAUCCCUUUAUUUGAUAUAUGAAGAUGGCAGAUUAA